UGGGGUGUCUGUGAAUUUAUUAUGAUUUUAGGCAGCCUCUCUUCUAAUGGGUGGGUUUCUGUUCCUGUCUUGCUAGUUGUUUGGCAUGGGGUGUUGAGCUUUGGAGCUUGCUCAUCAUUGAGUUGAGCUGGAUCUUAGUGUUGAGUGGAGAUCUCUGGGAGAGCUCUUGCCAAUUGAUAUUAUGUGGGGCUGGGAAGUCUCUGGUGUCCAGUGUCCUGAUCUCAUCUCUCCCACCUCAGGGGCUCUGACCUGACACCUGGCUGGAGCACCAAGACUCUGUCAGCCACACGGCCAGCUGACAAGACAACCAGGAGGCUGGCUAAACCCUGCUUCCCACCACAAGACUGCUGCAGCUGAGAGAUACUAGGACACAUGACAAAGGCCAGCAGAAGACAAUGGUUUUACUCAGAUGCUUUUACAAAAGCUUCCUGAAAAUGUGUUUCAUCUUCUGAGAAAUUCAUGGAAAAGGAUCUAACAAGUAUUCUAGAACACAAGUUUCUGAUGAAUUUCAAAUCAUACCACUGAACUGAGUAAGAAUUUACAAAACCCUAAUGGAGAAAUUGAUGGUUUCAUAAAACUUCUAACAAAAGAUCAAACAAAACAAGAAUUAAUUCCAUGGGACUAAAUAAACUGAAG